AGACCAGUGACGCAGUGGUUAGCGUUCCGUUCUUAUAAUGCGGGGGUCGUGGGUUCGAAUCCCACUUGGUCUA
rnacentral:tRNA from 12 species